AUAUCUGUUAGCAGCGUUGCUUUGACGCUUCGGAAUGGCUAAUAGACUUCUCAUCAACGGUUUUGUUUCCCUUAUCCGUAUGAGUGAU
rnacentral:sRNA from 1 species